CCUACGGGGGGCUGCAGUGGGGAAUAUUGGACAAUGGGGGGAACCCUGAUCCAGCCAUGCCGCGUGUGUGAAGAAGGCCCUCGGGUUGUAAAGCACUUUCAGUGAGGAAGAACGCCUGGUGGUUAAUACCCAUCAGGAAAGACAUCACUCACAGAAGAAGCACCGGCUAACUCCGUGCCAGCAGCCGCGGUAAUACGGAGGGUGCGAGCGUUAAUCGGAAUUACUGGGCGUAAAGCGCGCGUAGGUGGCUUGAUAAGCCGGUUGUGAAAGCCCCGGGCUCAACCUGGGAACGGCAUCCGGAACUGUCAAGCUAGAGUGCAGGAGAGGAAGGUAGAAUUCCCGGUGUAGCGGUGAAAUGCGUAGAGAUCGGGAGGAAUACCAGUGGCGAAGGCGGCCUUCUGGACUGACACUGACACUGAGGUGCGAAAGCGUGGGUAGCAAACAGGAUUAGAUACCUUGUAGUC
rnacentral:rRNA from 1 species